GAUGAACGCUGGCGGCGUGCCUAAUACAUGCAAGUCGAGCGAACAGAUGAGGAGCUUGCUGCUCUGACGUUAGCGGCGGACGGGUGAGUAACACGUGGAUAACCUACCUAUAAGACUGGGAUAACUUCGGGAAACCGGAGCUAAUACCGGACAAUAUAUUGAACCGCAUGGUUCAAUAGUGAAAGACGGUUUUGCUGUCACUUAUAGAUGGAUCCGCGUAGCAUUAGCUAGUUGGUAAGGUAACGGCUUACCAAGGCAACGAUGCGUAGCCGAACCAAGAGGAUGAUGGGUCACACUGGAACUAGGACACGGUCCCGAAUCCGACGGGAGGCAGCGUUAGGGAAUCUUCCGCAGUGGGCGGAAGCCUAACGUGGCAACGCCGGGUGAGUCAUGAAGGGCUUCGGAUCGUAAAACUCUGUUAUUUGGGAAGAACAAAUGUGUAAGUACCUGUGCACAUCUUGACGGUACCUAAUCAGAAAGCCACGGCUAACUACGUG
rnacentral:rRNA from 1 species